GGCAAUCACUAGCUACAAUCGAUGGAAUUUUGAUUGGAACUAUUCAUAAAAAAAGCCGCCUGAAGCCCCACCCGCCUUUUCUAUAUAGCUGCAUAACCAUAACAAGUUUUCUCUAAUGCCAUACCAAACCAAGACCUUUCCUACAAGGAAAGAAAGAGCCCGCGGCUCCCCUUUUUGAAUACCCCCCUCACUCCCCCCGG
rnacentral:lncRNA from 1 species